GACGAACGCUGGCGGCGUGCUUAACACAUGCAAGUCGAACGGAAAGGCCCUGCUUUUGUGGGGUGCUCGAGUGGCGAACGGGUGAGUAACACGUGAGUAACCUGCCCUUGACUUUGGGAUAACUUCAGGAAACUGGGGCUAAUACCGGAUAGGAGCUCCUGCUGCAUGGGGGGGGUUGGAAAGUUUCGGCGGUUGGGGAUGGACUCGCGGCUUAUCAGCUUGUUGGUGGGGUAGUGGAUUACCAAGGCUUUGACGGGUAGCCGGCCUGAGAGGGUGACCGGCCACAUUGGGACUGAGAUACGGCGCAGACGCCUACGGGAGGCAGCAGUGGGGAAUAUUGCACAAUGGGCGGAAGCCUGAUGCAGCAACGCCGCGUGCGGGAUGACGGCCUUCGGGGUGUAAACCGCUUUCGCCUGUGACGAAGAGUGAGUGACGGUAAUGGGUAAAGAAGCGCCGGCUAACUACGUG
rnacentral:rRNA from 1 species